rnacentral:rRNA from 1 species
UACGGAGGGGGCUAGCGUUGUUCGGAAUUACUGGGCGUAAAGCGCGCGUAGGCGGCUUUGUAAGUUAGAGGUGAAAGCCCGGAGCUUAACUCCGGAACUGCCUUUAAGACUGCAUCGCUAGAAUUGUGGAGAGGUAAGUGGAAUUCCGAGUGUAGAGGUGAAAUUCGUAGAUAUUCGGAAGAACACCAGUGGCGAAGGCAGCUCUCUGGGACGGUACUGACGCUGAGACGGCGAAAAGCGUGGGGAGCGAACAGG